AGGUGAUUGUUUUUGCAAUUUCUAUUUCAUCAUAGUUUAGUAUUGAUGUCCUUUGCUACUGCUUUUGAUACAACAUUUAUUGUUACUGAUUCCUUUGUUGUUGCUGUUUUAAGAUCUAUUUUUGAGCAAUCUUGUCGCUUGCUUUUGUUGCAUUUUUUGACUUGGUAGUGGCAUCAUCUUUGACUGACUAUGGCUUUGAUGGAUA
rnacentral:lncRNA from 1 species